rnacentral:lncRNA from 1 species
UUUUGUGUCACGUACAGCUGCUGUUGAAUUGUGUUAGUAUUGAUCUGUUACACAUUGUGGAUAAUCGUCUGUGAAAUCUGGGUGCUCGUGCCAUGGAGUUGUCAAUCACGAAUAUAACAGUGAACUCUUGGAUGUUUUGAAAUGAAGAAUGCAUGCAAUGUAAGGUGAUAUUGGUCGGCAUUGUGAAAGUAUGAUGUUCUCGUAUGGAGAGACACAGCCUUCAGAAGCUGUAGAGUCUAAGACCCAUACAUUCAAGACCCGGGUAUUCAGGAACCCCCAUAGCUGUGGUUUUUGUAAGGAGAUCAUAUGGAAUGAAGGCAGAAUCUGCAGAGUAUGUAGAUUUGCUUGCCAUAAAAAGUGUGAAUAUAAGGUAAGUGAAAUCACUUUAUUCUGCCAAUUUUGUCAUGAUUUUGAUGGCCAAAAAUGAUAUAUUACUUGAAAUGAGCCAAGAAAGUUCGAGAUGAUGGAUAAAUGCAUGUUUUAAUGGGGAAAUUAAGUUCACAUUUGGCAUGAUUAGGGCUAGAGGUCAUAGUAAUGAAAUGAUCUGUUUGGAGCCAAAAAGAUUUAAACUUGUAUGAUUUUACAGAGUUAAUGCCCUUCUGGCUCCAAACAGACGAGAUGAAUUGUGCAUUCCAGUAAUAUCUCAAGGGUAUCAUUGGAAUAGUUAUGAAGAAUCUGGCAACACCAUAUGGAAGUGCGGAAUGGAAGGAAAUAUGAACAUUCAGAAAGCAGAUUGGUAUA